GAUUUCAGUUGGGCUCUAUGAGCGGUUUGUGGAGGACAAGAUCCAGCAGUUCACCGACCUUUGUUCCUUGAGCAAUGUGUCCGUGUUCAUCUUGAUGCACAGGUGCUACGGCUUCUACAUCCACGGAAGAAGCGUCCACGGCCAUGCAGACGUGAGCAUGGACACCAUGCACUCGUACCUCCGGAGGGAGGAGGAGAACCUUUGCCCCCUUAGAGGCCUGGAGGCCAACUCAGACAUCC